GACUGUGUUGCACAGUGGUUGUCAUGCGUCCUUCUGGUUGAAGGUCGUCGGUUCGAAUCCGGCGGCAGUCG